rnacentral:rRNA from 1 species
UAGAGUUUGAUCCUGGCUCAGGACGAACGCUGGCGGCGUGCCUAAUACAUGCAAGUAGAACGCUGAAGAGAGGAGCUUGCUCUUCUUGGAUGAGUUGCGAACGGGUGAGUAACGCGUAGGUAACCUGCCUUGUAGCGGGGGAUAACUAUUGGAAACGAUAGCUAAUACCGCAUAACAAUGGAUGACACAUGUCAUUUAUUUGAAAGGGGCAAUUGCUCCACUACAAGAUGGACCUGCGUUGUAUUAGCUAGUAGGUGAGGUAAUGGCUCACCUAGGCGACGAUACAUAGCCGACCUGAGAGGGUGAUCGGCCACACUGGGACUGAGACACGGCCCAGACUCCUACGGGAGGCAGCAGUAGGGAAUCUUCGGCAAUGGGGGCAACCCUGACCGAGCAACGCCGCGUGAGUGAAGAAGGUUUUCGGAUCGUAAAGCUCUGUUGUAAGUCAAGAACGGGUGUGAGAGUGGAAAGUUCACACUGUGACGGUAGCUUACCAGAAAGGGACAGCUAACUACGUGCCAGCAGCCGCGGUAAUACGUAGGUCCCGAGCGUUGUCCGGAUUUAUUGGGCGUAAAGCGAGCGCAGGCGGUUUGAUAAGUCUGAAGUUAAAGGCUGUGGCUCAACCAUAGUUCGCUUUGGAAACUGUCAAACUUGAGUGCAGAAGGGGAGAGUGGAAUUCCAUGUGUAGCGGUGAAAUGCGUAGAUAUAUGGAGGAACACCGGUGGCGAAAGCGGCUCUCUGGUCUGUAACUGACGCUGAGGCUCGAAAGCGUGGGGAGCGAACAGGAUUAGAUACCCUGGUAGUCCACGCCGUAAACGAUGAGUGCUAGGUGUUGGAUCCUUUCCCGGGAUUCAGUGCCGCAGCUAACGCAUUAAGCACUCCGCCUGGGGAGUACGACCGCAAGGUUGAAGCUCAAAGGAAUUGACGGGGGCCCGCACAGCGU